AAUUCAGCAUAAAAAAAGGGAAGAGUUCAGAGUUGGAAUACUUUUAUUCAUGAAAACAUGUAAUAUUUUUAUUCAUGAAAACAUGUCUUUUAUUGCUACCCCUUUUGUGAUGAAAUUUUGUGAACACUAAUUUGAAGCACACCAAUGGAAAGCUGCAUAACAAAUCAGACUGACAGAACGAACUAGGAAAGUGCAAUCACAAGUUAAUCUGACCGAAAUGUCCAUGGACAGUUUACAUGAAGGUU
rnacentral:lncRNA from 1 species